rnacentral:rRNA from 1 species
CCUACGGGAGGCAGCAGUCGGGAAUAUUGGACAAUGGGCGAAAGCCUGAUCCAGCAAUACCGCGUGUGUGAAGAAGGCCUUAGGGUUGUAAAGCACUUUCAAUAGGGAGGAAAAAGGCAAGCUUAAUACGCUUGCCCUUGACAUUACCUAUACAAGAAGCACCGGCUAACUCCGUGCCAGCAGCCGCGGUAAUACGGAGGGUGCAAGCGUUAAUCGGAAUUACUGGGCGUAAAGCGUGCGUAGGCGGCUUGUUAAGUCAGAUGUGAAAGCCCCGGGCUUAACCUGGGAACUGCAUUUGAAACUGGCAAGCUAGAGUUGAGUAGAGGGGAGUGGAAUUUCAGGUGUAGCGGUGAAAUGCGUAGAUAUCUGAAGGAACACCAGUGGCGAAGGCGACUCCCUGGACUCAAACUGACGCUGAGGCACGAAAGCGUGGGUAGCAAACAGGAUUAGAUACCCUGGUAGUCCACGCCGUAAACGAUGUCGACUAGCCGUCGGGCCCUUUUAGGGUUUGAGUGGCGCAGCUUUCGCAUUAAGUCGUGCGCUUGGGGAGUACGGCAGCAAGGUUAAAACUCAAAUUAAUUGACGGGGUUCCGCACAUGAGGUGGAGCAUGUGGUAUAAUUCGAUGCAACGCGAAGAACCUUACUUUCCCUCCACAUGUUUGAAAUCCCUGAGACAUUGGGGAGUGCCUUCGGGAAUCAGAACACAGGUGCUGCAUGGCUGUCGUCAUCGGGUGUGGCGAGAUCAAGGGUUAAGUCCUGUCACGAUUCCAACCCUUGUCAAUAGUUUCCAGCGCGUAAUGGCGGUUCUCUAGGGAGACUGCCGGUGAUAAACCGGAGGAAGGUGGGGAAUAUGUCAAGUCAUCACCUCCCUUAGGAGUAGGGCUACACUCUCAGUACAAUGGUGGGUACAGAGGGUUUCGAACUUGCGAAAGUAAGUUAAUCCCAGAAACCUUUUCCCAGUCCGGAUUGUAAUCCACCAUUGGCUUCCAUGAAGUCGGAAGGUCUAGUGAUCCCGAAUUAGAAUGUCUCGGUGAUUUCGUUCCCGGGCCUUGUACACACCGCCCGU